UCUUAUGGAUGAGCAAAGAAAGUGGUUUCUGAAGAUAGAACCUACUCCUGGUAUAGGUGCUCUGAA
rnacentral:pre_miRNA from 1 species